AUACGGAGGGGGCUAGCGUUGUUCGGAAUUACUGGGCGUAAAGCGCGCGUAGGCGGAUCGUUAAGUCAGGGGUGAAUGCCCGGAGCUCAACUCCGGAACUGCCCUUGAUACUGGCGAUCUCGAGUCCGGGAGAGUGAGCGGAAUUCCUAGUGUAGAGGUGAAAUUCGUAGAUAUUAGGAGGAACACCAGUGGCGAAGGCGGCUCACUGGCCCGGUACUGACGCUGAGGUGCGAAAGCGUGGGUAGCAAACAGGAUUAGAAACCCCAGUAGUCC
rnacentral:rRNA from 1 species